rnacentral:rRNA from 1 species
GAUGAACGCUAGCGGCAGGCCUAAUACAUGCAAGUCGGACGGGAUUUGGGAGCUUGCUCCCAAUGAGAGUGGCGCACGGGUGCGUAACACGUAUGUAACCUACCUUAAUCAGGGGGAUAGCCUCUCGAAAGAGAGAUUAACACCGCACAACAUCAUGAGAUAGCAUUAUUUUAUGAUCAAAUAUUUAUAGGAUUAAGAUGGGCAUGCGGGACAUUAGCUAGUUGGCGGGGUAACGGCCCACCAAGGCGACGAUGUCUAGGGGAUCUGAGAGGAUGGCCCCCCACACUGGUACUGAGACACGGACCAGACUCCUACGGGAGGCAGCAGUAAGGAAUAUUGGUCAAUGGGCGCAAGCCUGAACCAGCCAUGCCGCGUGCAGGAAGACGGCCCUACGGGUUGUAACUGCUUUUGUACCGGAAUAAACCUUGAUAUGUAUAUCAAGCUGAAUGUACGGUAAGAAUAAGGACCGGCUAACUCCGUGCCAGCAGCCGCCGUAACAC